GAGAGAGAGAGAGAGAGAGAGGAGAUACAUCUACAUUCUACUGCUGCCUCAGGACAAACACAGUCGGAAACAGAACUACAGAGAGCACUCAGAGACGAGCGUCGCUAAUUCUCUUUUUUUUGAAGACACAGAUCUUAUCUGCACAGAGAUUCACACAUUCUACUAAAGAGUUGACUAAAGAGUUGACGCGAGAAACCUGGAUAUACACUACAGUAGCAAAGAACAGAGAAAGAGGAAGAGACUUGGAUAUACACCCUACAACUCUUAUUACAGCCAUGCGUCCUAGAUCCAAACUCCUGUCCCAGAAGAGGAGACUACAGCUUCCCACCAUCAGAGAGGGCUACGAGGACCUAGUCAGAGACAUGAACCAGUUGAAUCAGAUUAACCAGUCCAACACCCUCCACUCUGCCCAGCCUACCACUCACCCAGGGCCCUGCCCACACACUCUCUCCUCAGAGGACUACCUGCUGUCCAUAUGCCACCUGGCUCACCCCACCUCCCUUCCCACCAAUGACAUUAUCAACCCUCGCAAGCAGGACUCGCUGCACCACAGGCCGAGGCUGCUGCGGCUCGCUGUGCAAGAUGAAAACUCUCCAAAGACCACUGCACUUUGUCACAGGGGAAAGGCUCAUGGUAAGGACAGGGUGGAGCCUGGGAUGUACUCUGACCUCAUUACUGUGUGCGGAGGACAGGAGAAAGAUUCCAAAUGUAGCAAGCCUGCGUUUGGUCGCCAUGGUGCGUCAGAUCCUUUAGAAUUCCUGUACAGCAGCCCCACCCACUCCACCUGUCAAUCAGGGAAUGGGAGGCAGUGAUUGGGUUUGAGGAGACACUGGGUGGUGUCUGAGGGCCAGUCCUGCCCACGGGCACACAGUUAACCCCGCUCUUGCCCCUCUGGCAUCCAGCAGCAACGUAAGAGCAGCUGUCCUAAGUUCCGUGAUACAGCCACCCCUGACUGUGCCCCCUCUCUCUCUUUUACCUCACCACACAGCCCUCACAGACAUGCACACCUACACAGGACUCUGCAGAACAGCUACAGGCUAGGAUAGGUGGCCCGUUUAACAAAGAAAACAAGGGGGGUGAAGGGAGAGGGAAGGAGAGGAAGGAGGAGAGGAAAAGGGAGAGCUCCACGGUCAAACAUUCCCUGAUCUCUCAGUGGAUGUCAGAUUGUCCCUGUGGCUGGAUGGAGGCCUGUGUAUGAGCUUGCCUUCUGCCCACCAUCGCAGAUAUGUAAAGGCAUCAGAACCACUGAACCACAUCAACAGUCCAUAGACCUAUAUGACAGGAUAUGAACAAUGACAAGACACCACAGUUUCACUAUGACAGUAGAUACCUGCUGAAAUGUUUUUUUGUUUGUUAAAAAAAAAAUGUUUUAAUUGAAUAUCUGAAACAUGCAAUGUACUUGCAGUGAAGCCGCUCAACAACUACAUCAUACCAGUCAUCCAACAGAGUCCCAUUCACAGGGACACACAGAAGCAUCCAGGGUCAAUGCCCUGCUCAAGGGCAUGUUGACCGAUCUCCCACCAGGCUAAAAAACAUGAACCUGAACCCUCCAAGAUCCCCCCACAGUUCCCCAAUAGCUGUCCCUCAACCAUUCGAGACCACUCCCACAGUCCCCCCCCCAAAGAAUAUAUAUAUAUUUUUUAAUACAAUUAAUUCCAUUCCCCACCCUCAAGAACCCCCCCAAUGCACCAACAACCAAGAGAAUGAGCUAAAGAGAAAAAAGUAAAAGACCUGCUGAAUUGACACGACAGCAAAUAUAAAUGUUGAUCUAUGAGAAAUGUCACUGAACUAUACAAUGAGUGUACAAAACAUUAGGAACACCUUCCUAAUAUUGAGUUGCACCCCAUUUUGCCCUCAGAACAGCCUCAAUUCAUUGAGGCAUGGACUCUACGUGGUGCCAAAAAAUGAAUUGAUUUAAAAAAAAACAUGUUUUUAAUACAGUGUCUGUCUGUCAUGAUUUUUAACCUGUGACCCUUUACAAAGGCAUGAUAACUUGUUUUUGUGCACAUUAAAUGUCAGAAACCCAAUA